rnacentral:rRNA from 1 species
GACGAACGCUGGCGGCGUGCUUAACACAUGCAAGUCGAACGGAAAGGCCCUGCUUUUGUGGGGUGCUCGAGUGGCGAACGGGUGAGUAACACGUGAGUAACCUGCCCUUGACUUUGGGAUAACUUCAGGAAACUGGGGCUAAUACCGGAUAGGAGCUCCUGCUGCAUGGUGGGGGUUGGAAAGUUUCGGCGGUUGGGGAUGGACUCGCGGCUUAUCAGCUUGUUGGUGGGGUAGUGGCUUACCAAGGCUUUGACGGGUAGCCGGCCUGAGAGGGUGACCGGCCGCAUGGGGACGGAGAUACGGCCCGGACCCCUACGGGCGGGAGGAGGGGGGAAGAUUGAACAAGGGGCGGGAGCCUGAUGCAGCAACCCCGGGGGCGGGAAGGCGGCCGUCGGGUUGUAAACCGCUUUCGCCUGGGACGGAGGGUAGGGGAGGGAAAUGGGUAAAAAGGCACGGGCAAAUUAGGG